rnacentral:rRNA from 1 species
CGCCUGGGGAGUACGGGUGAGGUAACGGCUCACCAAGGCAUCGACGGGUAGCUGGUCUGAGAGGACGAUCAGCCACACUGGGACUGAGACACGGCCCAGACUCCUACGGGAGGCAGCAGUAGGGAAUCUUGCGCAAUGGGCGAAAGCCUGACGCAGCAACGCCGCGUGGGGGAUGAAUGCCUUCGGGUUGUAAACCCCUUUCAGCAGGGACGAAAAUGACGGUACCUGCAGAAGAAGCUCCGGCCAACUACGUGCCAGCAGCCGCGGUAAUACGUAGGGAGCGAGCGUUGUCCGGAAUUAUUGGGCGUAAAGAGCUCGUAGGCGGUUCAGUAAGUCGGGUGUGAAAACUCAAGGCUCAACCUUGAGACGCCACUCGAUACUGCUGUGACUUGAGUCCGGUAGAGGAGUGUGGAAUUCCUGGUGUAGCGGUGAAAUGCGCAGAUAUCAGGAGGAACACCAGCGGCGAAGGCGGCACUCUGGGCCGGUACUGACGCUGAGGAGCGAAAGCAUGGGGAGCAAACAGGAUUAGAUACCCUGGUAGUCCACGCCGUAAACGGUGGGAACUAGAUGUGGGGUCCGUUCCACGGAUUCCGUGUCGCAGCUAACGCAUUAAGUUCCCCGCCUGGGGAGUACGG